rnacentral:rRNA from 1 species
AGCAGCCGCGGUAAUUCCAGCUCCAAUAGCGUAUAUUAAAGUUGUUGCAGUUAAAAAGCUCGUAGUUGAAUUUCGGGAUCAAUAUGUUGGUCGUGCCUCGGUACGUACUAGCAUAUUGGUUUCUCCCUUCUGACGAACCAUGAUGUCAUUUAUUUGGUGUCGUGGGAAAUCAGGACUGUUACUUUGAAAAAAUUAGAGUGUUUAAAGCAGGCUCACGCCUGAAUACAUUAGCAUGGAAUAAUGAAAUAGGACGUUUGAUUCUAUUUUGUUGGUUUCUAGGAUCGACGUAAUGAUUAAUAGGGAUAGUUGGGGGCAUUAGUAUUCAAUUGUCAGAGGUGAAAUUCUUGGAUUUAUUGAAGACUAACUACUGCGAAAGCAUUUGCCAAGGAUGUUUUCAUUAAUCAAGAACGAAAGUUAGGGGAUCGAAGACGAUCAGAUACCGUCGUAGUCUUAACCAUAAACUAUGCCGACUAGGGAUCGAAUGAUGUAAUUUUUUAAUGA